rnacentral:sRNA from 1 species
GACAAGCGACAAAAGGUCAUGCGGGCUGCGCUUGCGCAGGCAAGCGUGACUUUGUGUCGCGCAAAACACCGAAAAGGAGCCAUUUUUCGCAGAAAAAUGGGCGGAUUUGAGGUGUUUUUAGGAUUGCGGGAGCGCAAAGCGCGGAGCAAUCCGUGG